AAAACUGCAAUCGCGAGCGUAUCCUCGAGAGAGAGAGAGAGAGAGAGAGAGAGAGUGCAUAGCGGUGGUUCGAGCGAGCAUUUCCUCAAGAGAGCAGAGCAAAGUGGACAUUGUACACUGGAUAUCUCGUCUGCAGCAGUCCGCGCGUGUUCUCGGCCCCUCUCUCCUCCCGCGUCGCAGUGACGAGCGUGUGACCUUUGCCUUCCCGCAUCGGUUUUAUUUUCCAACUUUCGAAAGAGUGUGCGUCGUCGCGCCAUGUAGUCCGCUUCUGCUGUACCACCACCGCCACAGCUACUGUCGACGUCGCAGUUGUUCCUCCGACUGCUAGCUGAUUAGACACUCGCGCAGACACACGGCGAGCAGCCGAGAAUAAGAGGGAGAGAGAAAGAGAGAAGAGGUUAUAAGCUACAUAUACUCGCGUCUCUCUUCUGCGCUCGACGAUAAGUUGGACUGCUACACGCUGUAUACCCUGUGUUGUAUGUACUCUCUUUGGCUUUUUUCGCAGUGAGUGCUUGCCACUCCGCGAGCGGGAGCUUCGAGCUUGAGUAUAUAGAUACAGUCUCUGUCUCCGUCUUUAUUGUCAGCUCGCACCUGUGUGUCUCAUUUGUUUUCUUUUUUUUCUCUCUCUCUCUCUCUCUCUCUCUCGACGAAAGAACUGCGCGUGACCGAGUGGCUCCCGUCUGUUAUAGAGUGUGAAUUUUCGGAGCAAGACGUGUUUUAGAAUAUCGCUGCGGUAACGUCGGAGGGAGGAAAAGCUUCUCAUCAGUGACCAUGUCGGACCCCGAGCCCUGCAAGAUCGAGACGCACUUUACGCGGCCGACGUCGGACACCAUCCAGACGAAACCCUUCCCCAUCAGAGGCGAACGAGCGAACUUCGUGAACAAGCCCCACGUGAUAGCCAUGGUGGGUCUGCCGGCCCGGGGCAAGACCUACAUCUCGAAGAAGCUCUGCCGCUACCUCAACUGGAUCGGCAUCAACACGAAGGUCUACAACCUGGGCGAGUACAGGAGGCACGCGACCACGGCCUACCAGUGCCACGACUUCUUCCGGCCCGACAACAUCAAGGCCAUGGCCAUAAGGACCCAGUGCGCCAUGGACGCCCUGAACGACGUCUGCCAGUGGCUCGAGUCCGGCGACGGCGAGGUCGCGGUCUUCGACGCGACCAACUCCACGGUCGAGAGGCGCCAGCUCAUCAGGGACAUCGUCGUCAAGAAGAUGGGCUUCAAUCUCUUCUUCGUCGAGUCCGUCUGCAAUGAUCCGGAAAUCGUCGAGCAGAACAUCAUGGAGGUGAAGGUCAGCAGUCCCGACUACACCAACAUGAACAAGGAGGAGGUCCUGGCGGACUUUAUGCUGCGCAUCGAGCACUACCAGGAGAAGUACCAGCCGCUGGACGAGCAGUACGAGAGCGACCUGUCCUUCAUGAAAAUCUACAACACCGGCGAGAAGGUGCUGGUGCACAAGCACGAGGGCCACAUACAGUCGCGGAUCGUCUACUACCUCAUGAACAUCCACAUCGUGCCGCGCACCAUCUACCUGACCAGGCACGGCGAGAGCGCGAUGAACCUCGACGGCAGAAUCGGGGGCGACUCGGACCUCAGCGAUCGCGGCUGGGAGUACGCCAAGGCGCUGGGCAACUACAUCACCGAGCAGGACAUCCAGGGUCUGAGGGUGUGGACGAGCUGGCUCAAGCGCACCAUCCAGACCGCCGCCCACGUCAAGGCGCCGCAGGAGAGGUGGAAGGCGCUCAACGAGAUCGACGCCGGAAUCUGCGAAGAGAUGACGUACGAGGAGAUCGAGAGCAAGUACCCGAUGGACUUCGCGGCGAGAGACCAGAACAAAUUCUCCUACCGCUAUCCCCGAGGAGAGAGCUACGAAGACUUGGUGGCGCGCCUCGAGCCGGUCAUCAUGGAACUCGAGCGGCAGGGCAACGUCCUCGUGGUCAGUCACCAGGCUGUGCUGCGCUGUCUGCUCGCCUACUUCCUCGACAAGAAUGCCGUCGGCACCCCGAACUCGGCCCCGUACCAACCAACCCAAUCCUUCUCUUUUGCAGACGAGCUGCCGUAUCUCCAGGUGCCUCUGCACACGAUAAUUAAAUUAACGCCCGUGGCGUACGGCUGCAAAGUGGAGAACAUUCGCCUGCCGAUCGACGCAGUGGACACGCACCGACCAAAACCAAAGGUAGAGGCUUAGUGUGUAGACGCAAAUAAAAGCAGGGUACAUAGUGCAAUAAAAAAGAGAGAAAAAUCGCAAAAAAAAAGAAACAAAAAACAAGAACGCAAUAUACGUUCUACUGUGUAAACGUCAUUAGCCAGUGCAAAGAGUAUGUUUAGAUAACAGACUGACAAGGUGCGAGAGCAGGAUCGUAGAGAAAAAUUACAGUAACCCCCUGUAGACGAGCUAGUAUCCACCGCUGCACAACACAUGCAUCCGCCACACGCUAUACAUUGCAGUAGCGAGCCAUUGCCUGCCCGCGUGAUACGACGCGCUGCUUGUUACUAUUUCUAUAUUUUUAUGUAUGUAUAUCUAUUACGCAUCCUGUGUCCAUCUGUUCUCUAUUUCCUCUGCUCGAUUCCGGUGAAUAUGCUGCACGAAAAUGCACAGUGAUGAGAUGAUCCUCGGGUCAGUGGAAGAGAGAGAGAGAGAGAGAGAAAAGAACCCAUGCAUGUGAACGAGACUAUGCGAUUGUGACUAAAACCAUUCCGCGGUCGUUUAGAUACUCGAUUAGCAUUGUAGUGUGUAGACAGAAGUGUUGUCGUCACUUUCAGCUGCGAUUCUGCGCCGAGACAAUUUAUUGCAAGCAAAAAAGAACAUGAAAUACCUGACGACAAGUGACUCGUUUUCCAUAUUCUCUGUUGGCUUUGUCAACUGUCCUACUCUUUCACAUAUACACUCACUGUAUCUAUGAAAGGGUCUGUAAUGAUGUCAAUGAAUGUUCUGUGCUUUCGUUGUACUUAUAUAAAAAUCUUUAUAUAUUAUUUAAUUUAUGAUUGAUUAAUCAUAUGUGGACUAAACAAAAUUAAAAAUCUGUUUACAUGUCUGAGUAUGUCGAGGCUCGCAAUACCGAGGCUUUUGUUACUCCCAGGGUGACGAUUUGUAAUUAUAACAUCGAUCAUUUUAACUAAAUGUAUGUUGUUAACCUUUUUUAAAAUGAAAAUUUUUAAACCAUGACACUUUUUACAACCGAUCUUAUACGAUAUCUAGUAUAGUAGAUCACUCAAUCAUGUAUACACCGUAAUAUUUAGAGAAAUAUAUACAUUUUUGGCAGAAGGGAUCUUAUAUUUUACGUUUCAUUGUACUUGGCGUCUUCUCCACUUGAUAAACCUGUGUAAUUAUAAAAAUUAACAUUAACUCCAAUAACACUAACUUUAGAGAAUGAAGAGAAAACGAAAAAAGGUUGUCACUUUAAUGCUAUUUAUCACACAGAACAAGGCACAUUAUUGCAAUCAGAACAGAAAUAAAUUCAUCUUACACAUGAACGUUUAUCUCUCGACUCUCUUGUCACUGCUGCUUUCCUCUGUCUGCCAGUUGAAUAAAAAUCCCGGGCUACCUCGAGGAGCGCUUCCGAAGAAAAGGCAAGAACCUUCAUACAUGAUAGCGCGGGCUUAGCAGUCACAGUAAAGAGUUCCUCGGAAUGUCUUGUCUCGAGAUACACAAAGAAGUGAAGAGAGUGAGAGAAAGCGAGAGGCGGCAAUUUGUCGGGCAGCGGGCUGUCGUUGUAGACAAGAAUGAGAUAGACGAAUUUUGCAGUUGAUAAGUGGAAGACAAACAAACAAACAAAUUAUUACCAAGAAUACAAGAAAACGUUUCUCUUCGAUGUUCUUCAACCCCUUCCCGCAACUCGAUAAUCUCUCGUCGUGUUUACUACCAGCAGGUUUCAACGUGGAUCUUUUGUCACUUUUCAAAUGUCAGCGUGUCAAACAAGAAUUUUGUUUUUUUUUUCCACGUAAAGUUGUGAUUUUUACAUCUUGCAAUAUAUAUAUAUAUAUAUAUAUAUAUAUAUAUAUAUACGUCAUAUAUAUAAAAAGGGAAAAAAUUGUCGGCUUACAGAAAUAACGUUUACCUUCCUUUAUACAAUGAGCCAUAGGUGAAAGUCCGAUCCAGCCGAGAAAGAUGUUUCGAACUAAUCCUAAGUGUAAGAGAAAAUGACAAAAAAGUUAAAAAAAAAAAUAACAAGAAAUGGAAACGUGUAUAUAAAGAUAUGUAUAUAGCUAUAUUUUUUGUGCGCUGCACUAGUAAAAGUGCGAUUCUGUGAUUGGGUGGGGAUAGCGAUCAAGUCGAUGAAUUAACCGACUUCCACUCUUCGCCAGACUUUAUCGCUAUAUCGACUAUGAGUAUAUGCAAGAAAAAAAAAAUUAAAAAAAAA